CCAGGUCAGUUACGCUCUGACAAUACUCUGCCUGCUAGGUUGUCCUGAAGGUGGAUUCUUUAACAGCUGAGCCACCAGAAUACUGGAGUGGGUAGUCUAUGCCUUCUCCACCGGAUCUUCCCUACCCAGGGAUUGAACCAGGGUCUCCUGCAUUGCAGGCGGAUUCUCUACCAGCUGAGUUACCAGGAAAGUCUCCGGGCCACCAGGGAAGCUGCUGGCAAUUGUAGUUCAGAUUUUCUUAAGUAGAACUGGUUCCCAUGGCAGCUUUCAUUUGUGGGUUUCUGCUCAGAUGUUAGAAGGGUUGAUUUUUCAGUUGUGUGUGCAUGCUGAGUCACUUCAGUCUUGUCCGACUCUUUUCAACCUCAU
ensembl:lncRNA